rnacentral:rRNA from 1 species
CCUACGGGAGGCAGCAGUAGGGAAUCUUUCACAAUGGGCGAAAGCCUGAUGGAGCAACGCCGCGUGCAGGAUGAAGGCCUUCGGGUUGUAAACUGCUUUUAUAAGCGAGAAAUAUGAUGGUAACUUAUGAAUAAGGAUCGGCUAACUACGUGCCAGCAGCCGCGGUCAUACGUAGGAUCCGAGCAUUAUCCGGAGUGACUGGGUGUAAAGAGUUGCGUAGGUGGCAUAAUAAGUAGCUAGUGAAAUCUGGUGGCUCAACCAUUCAGACUAUUAGCUAAACUGUUAAGCUCGAGACCGUUAGGGGUAACUGGAAUGUCUAGUGUAGGAGUGAAAUGCGUAGAUAUUAGAAAGAACACCAAUAGCGUAGGCAGGUUACUGGGACGGUUCUGACACUAAGGCACGAAAGCGUAGGGAGCAAACGGGAUUAGAUACCCCAGUAGUC